rnacentral:rRNA from 1 species
AUUGAACGCUGGCGGCAUGCCUUACACAUGCAAGUCGAACGGCAGCGGACCUUCGGGUGCCGGCGAGUGGCGUACGGGUGAGUAAUGCAUCGGAACGUACCUUUCAGUGGGGGAUAACGUAGCGAAAGUUACGCUAAUACCGCAUAUUCUGUGAGCAGGAAAGCAGGGGAUCGCAAGACCUUGCGCUGAUUGAGCGGCCGAUGUCAGAUUAGCUAGUUGGUGAGGUAAAGGCUCACCAAGGCGACGAUCUGUAGCGGGUCUGAGAGGAUGAUCCGCCACACGGGAACUGGGACACGGUCAAGACUCCUACGGGAGGAAGCAGUGGGGAAUUUUGGACAAUGGGGGCAACCCUGAUCCAGCCAUGCCGCGUGAGUGAAGAAGGCCUUCGGGUUGUAAAGCUCUUUCGGCCGGGAAGAAAUCGCACGGGCUAAUACCCUGUGUGGAUGACGGUACCGGAAUAAGAAGCACCGGCUACUACGUGCCAGCAGCCGCCGUAAUAC